UUCUUUGCCUCGCUUCCUUGUGUCUCACCUUUGCUGCCAUGGAUUUGCAUCUUCCAAAUGAAACAUCUCACUUUCAAUUUUUGCCCCAGGCUCUAUCUUCUAGAGAAGCUAGCCUAACAUACAUAUAGGAAGGGCAGCCUUCCCACUCAGCCCAGGGUGUGGUGGAACUUCAUUUAGGCUGCAUGUGAAAAUUGGCCACCUGCUUUGCUUGUCUACAGCUCUAAGUAAGAAAUCCUGGGAGUGGUCAGUGGACAUCCUUUCUGUUAUGUGGGUAAUGUCAAUCUGCAGCAUGAGAGAAGAAUUCCACCAAUAUGCAGAGAGAAACAGAGGCAGGAGCUACAGAGAAUGUCCUAAUGGCAGUCUCAGACGGAAGUACAGCUAGCACAGUGUAUUCCCCCAAGGGGUGAGAGAAUGGGAAGAUGGGAAGAGGCUAAGUUUUGGACUCCAACAGGCCUGGGUUUCAGUCUCGAACUCCAUCACUUUCUAUCUGUGGACCAUGGACAAGUCAUUUAACCUCUCUGUGCCUGAGGUUCCUCAUCUGAAAAUUAGAGGAAUAACACUAUGUUUCA
rnacentral:lncRNA from 10 species